AGAUUAAGCCAUGCAUGUCUAAGUACACACGGCCGGUACAGUGUAACACUGCGACGGCUCAUUAAAUCAAUUUAUUGUUCCUUUGAUCGCUUCCAAAGCUACUUGGAUAACUGUGGCCAAUUCUAGAGCUAAGACAUGCCGACGAGAGCUCUGACCUUCGGGGAUGCGUGCAUUUAUCAGCCAAAAACCCCACCGGGCCGCCUCGCCGGGCCGCUUUGGUGACUCUGGAUAACCUCGGGCCGAUCGCACGUCCUCCGUGGCGGCGACGACUCAUUCGAUGUCUGCCUUAUCAACUUUCCGUUGGUACUAUCUCUGCUCCUACCAUGGUGACCACGGGUAACGGGGAAUCAGGGUUCGAUUCCGGAGAGGGAGCCUGAGAAACCGGCUACCACAUCCAAGGAAGGGCAGCAGGCGCGCAAAUUACCCACUCCCGGCUCGGGGAGGUAGUGACGAAAAAAUAAAAAUACAGGACUCUUUCGAGGCCCUGUAAUUGGAAUGAGUACANNNNNNNAAAGUUGUUGCAGUUAAAAAGCUCGUAGUUGAACCUUGGGCCUGGCUGGCCGGUCCGCCUCACCGCGUGUACUGGUCCGGCCGGGCCUUUCCUUCUGGGGAACCUCAUGCCCUUCACUGGGCGUGUUGGGGAACCAGNNNNNNAAAGUUGCUGCAGUUAAAAACUCGUAGUUGGAUCUUGGGAUCGAGCUGGCGGUCCGCCUCGAGGCGAGCUACCGCCUGUCCCAGCCCCUGCCUCUCGGCGCCCCCCGAUGCUCUUAGCUGAGUGUCCCGCGGGGUCCGAAGCGUUUACUUUUAGAAAAAAUUAGAGUGUUCAAAGCAGGCCGGUACGCCUGAAUACCGCAGCUAGGAAUAAUGGAAUAGGGAACUCCGUUCUAUUUUGUGGGUUUCCGGAACAGGGGCCAUGAUUAAGAGGGACGGCCGGGGGCAUUCGUAUUGCCAGCUAGAGGUGAAAUUUUGGACUGCGCAAGACGGACGAAAGCGAAAGCAUUUGCCAAGAAUUUUUUAUUAAUCAAGAACGAAAGUCGGAGGGUCCGAAGACGAUCAGAUACCGUCGUAGUUCCGACCAUAAACGAUGGCGGACUCGCGAUCCCGGCCGGCGUUAUUCCCACGACCCACCGGGCAGCGCCCCGGAACCCAAAGACUUUGGGUUCCCGGGGGAGUAUGGUUGCAAAGCUGAAACUUAAAGGAAUUGACGGAAGGGCACCACCAGGAGUGGAGCCUGCGGCGUAAUUUGACCCAACACGGGAAACCUCACCCGGCCCGGACACGGAAAGGAUUGACAGAUUGAUNNNNNNNNCGAUUCUGUGGGUGGUGGUGCAAUGGCCCGUUCUUAGUUUGUUGGAGCGAUUUGUCUGGUUAAUUCCGAUAACGAACGAGACUCCGGCAUGCUAACUAGUUACGCGGCCCCGUGCGGUCGGCGUCCAACUUCUUAAGAGGGAUUAGUGGCGUUCAGCCACACGAGAUGGAGCAAUAACAGGUCUGUGAUGCCCUUAGAUGUCCGGGGCUGCACGCGCGCCACACUGAAUGGAUCAGCGUGUGUCUACCCUUCGCCGACAGGGCGCGGGUAACCCGCUGAACCCCAUGCGUGAUGGGGAUCGGGGAUUGCAAUUAUUUUCCAAUGAACGAGNNNNNNUGUCUGGUUAAUUCCGAUAACGAACGAGACCUUAACCUGCUAAAUAGCCCGGC
rnacentral:rRNA from 1 species